UGGAAGAUUAAAAAUCAUCAGCAAUGUCCCCCCACCAUGACCCAAAUGAAUUCAUGCAAACGCAUUGAUAUUAAAAUGCAGCUCUUAAUGAAAGUGCUUUCUAUGAAAGAGAGGGUGACAUUAUUAUUUACAACACAGGCACUUUUAAUAUCUAAAGAAGAAUCUCAUUUGCUCUAGCCUUAAUUAUGUCAGACUGCAGUACACACAGCAAAAAGAAUGCAAUUGUACUCCCUAACAAUUAGAGAAGGGAACCAUGUCUUAAUAACAAAGGAUGUUUGGUUACCAGGACAUUGCAACCACUGUUCAUAAGCAACUCAACAAAUUGAAUUAUAUGUGCUCUGGCCCUCACCAAAAUGAGUGGUUUGUUAAUUGUCCUCCUCAAGUGGCUUUUAGGGUUUCAAAGAGGUUUUUAAGCAGCUGUUAGCCUUGAGGAGAAAAAAAAAAAAAGAGAAAAAAACAUAAGUGAAAUGUAGCUAGCACCUUGCCAGUUUCAAGCAAUAAGCUGAUUUGAUGUAUUUGAUUCUCUCCUGAAGAGAUGAGGGAAGCCUUAGAGAAGUGAGCUAGGUCUGAGCCAGAUGCGGUGGCUCACACCUGUAAUCCCAACACUUUGGGAGGCUGAGGUGGGCGGAUCAUGAGGUCAGGAGUUCAAGACCAGCCUGGCCAAUAUUGUGAAACCCCAUCUCUACUAAAAAUACAAAAGUUAGCCAGGCGUGGUGGUGCAUGCCUGUAAUCCCAGCUAUUAGAGAGGCUGAGGAAGAAGAAUUCCUUGAACCUGGGAGGCAGAGGUUGCAGCGAGCCAAGAUCACACCCCUGCACUCCAGCCUGGGCAACAGAAGGAUACUCCAUCUCAAAAAAAAAAGUGAACUAGGUAUGAAGUUUGGUUCCCCGGGACUGGUGGUGGUAGGGAAGAUGAUUUUUGGUGGUACCCCAACAAAGAUCUUUUUUAUAUCAAUGGUUUUACAGAUAUUUCAAUGUGUAUUCGAAAGAAAAUAAUAAUG
rnacentral:lncRNA from 10 species